rnacentral:rRNA from 1 species
AGAGUUUGAUCCUGGCUCAGGAUGAACGCUGGCGGCGUGCCUAAUACAUGCAAGUCGAGCGAACGGACGAGAAGCUUGCUUCUCUGAUGUUAGCGGCGGACGGGUGAGUAACACGUGGAUAACCUACCUAUAAGACUGGGAUAACUUCGGGAAACCGGAGCUAAUACCGGAUAAUAUUUUGAACCGCAUGGUUCAAAAGUGAAAGACGGUCUUGCUGUCACUUAUAGAUGGAUCCGCGCUGCAUUAGCUAGUUGGUAAGGUAACGGCUUACCAAGGCAACGAUGCAUAGCCGACCUGAGAGGGUGAUCGGCCACACUGGAACUGAGACACGGUCCAGACUCCUACGGGAGGCAGCAGUAGGGAAUCUUCCGCAAUGGGCGAAAGCCUGACGGAGCAACGCCGCGUGAGUGAUGAAGGUCUUCGGAUCGUAAAACUCUGUUAUUAGGGAAGAACAUAUGUGUAAGUAACUGUGCACAUCUUGACGGUACCUAAUCAGAAAGCCACGGCUAACUACGUGCCAGCAGCCGCGGUAAUACGUAGGUGGCAAGCGUUAUCCGGAAUUAUUGGGCGUAAAGCGCGCGUAGGCGGUUUUUUAAGUCUGAUGUGAAAGCCCACGGCUCAACCGUGGAGGGUCAUUGGAAACUGGAAAACUUGAGUGCAGAAGAGGAAAGUGGAAUUCCAUGUGUAGCGGUGAAAUGCGCAGAGAUAUGGAGGAACACCAGUGGCGAAGGCGACUUUCUGGUCUGUAACUGACGCUGAUGUGCGAAAGCGUGGGGAUCAAACAGGAUUAGAUACCCUGGUAGUCCACGCCGUAAACGAUGAGUGCUAAGUGUUAGGGGGUUUCCGCCCCUUAGUGCUGCAGCUAACGCAUUAAGCACUCCGCCUGGGGAGUACGACCGCAAGGUUGAAACUCAAAGGAAUUGACGGGGACCCGCACAAGCGGUGGAGCAUGUGGUUUAAUUCGAAGCAACGCGAAGAACCUUACCAAAUCUUGACAUCCUUUGACAACUCUAGAGAUAGAGCCUUCCCCUUCGGGGGACAAAGUGACAGGUGGUGCAUGGUUGUCGUCAGCUCGUGUCGUGAGAUGUUGGGUUAAGUCCCGCAACGAGCGCAACCCUUAAGCUUAGUUGCCAUCAUUAAGUUGGGCACUCUAAGUUGACUGCCGGUGACAAACCGGAGGAAGGUGGGGAUGACGUCAAAUCAUCAUGCCCCUUAUGAUUUGGGCUACACACGUGCUACAAUGGACAAUACAAAGGGCAGCGAAACCGCGAGGUCAAGCAAAUCCCAUAAAGUUGUUCUCAGUUCGGAUUGUAGUCUGCAACUCGACUACAUGAAGCUGGAAUCGCUAGUAAUCGUAGAUCAGCAUGCUACGGUGAAUACGUUCCCGGGUCUUGUACACACCGCCCGUCACACCACGAGAGUUUGUAACACCCGAAGCCGGU